CACGGGUGCGUAACGCGUAUGCAAUCUACCUUUCACAGAGGGAUAGCCCAGAGAAAUUUGGAUUAAUACCUCAUAGUAUAGCAGUUUCGCAUGAAACCACUAUUAAAGUCACAACGGUGAAAGAUGAGCAUGCGUCCCAUUAGCUAGUUGGUAAGGUAACGGCUUACCAAGGCAACGAUGGGUAGGGGUCCUGAGAGGGAGAUCCCCCACACUGGUACUGAGACACGGACCAGACUCCUACGGGAGGCAGCAGUGAGGAAUAUUGGACAAUGGGCGCAAGCCUGAUCCAGCCAUGCCGCGUGCAGGAUGACGGUCCUAUGGAUUGUAAACUGCUUUUAUACGAGAAGAAACCCUCCGACGUGUCGGAGCUUGACGGUAUCGUAAGAAUAAGGAUCGGCUAACUCCGUGCCAGCAGCCGCGGUAAUACGGAGGAUCCAAGCGUUAUCCGGAAUCAUUGGGUUUAAAGGGUCCGUAGGCGGUCAGGUAAGUCAGUGGUGAAAGCCCAUCGCUCAACGGUGGAACGGCCAUUGAUACUGUCUGACUUGAAUUAUUAGGAAGUAACUAGAAUAUGUAGUGUAGCGGUGAAAUGCUUAGAGAUUACAUGGAAUACCAAUUGCGAAGGCAGGUUACUACUAAUGGAUUGACGCUGAUGGACG
rnacentral:rRNA from 1 species